rnacentral:rRNA from 1 species
GACGAACGCUGGCGGCGUGCUUAACACAUGCAAGUCGAACGGAAAGGCCCUGCUUUUGUGGGGUGCUCGAGUGGCGAACGGGUGAGUAACACGUGAGUAACCUGCCCUUGACUUUGGGAUAACUUCAGGAAACUGGGGCUAAUACCGGAUAGGAGCUCCUGCUGCAUGGUGGGGGUUGGAAAGUUUCGGCGGGUGGGGAUGGACUCGCGGCUUAUCAGCUUGUUGGUGGGGUAGUGGCUUACCAAGGCUUUGACGGGUAGCCGGCCUGGGAGGGUGACCGGCGACAUUGGGACUGCGAUACGGCCCAGACUCCUACGGUAGGCAGCAGUGGGGAAUAUUGCACAAUGGGCGGAAGCCUGAUGCAGCAACGCCGCGUGCGGGAUGACGGCCUUCGGGUUGUAAACCGCUUUCGCCUGUGACGAAGCGUGAGUGACGGUAAUGGGUAAAGAAGCACCGGCUAACUACGUG